rnacentral:rRNA from 1 species
UACAGAGACCUCAAGCGUUAUCCGGAAUCAUUGGGCGUAAAGCGUACCGAUAGGUGGUUUUACAAGUCAGAAGUGAAAUCUCUCAGCUCAACUGGGAGACUGUCUUUUGAAACUGUAAAACUAGAAGGGCAAAGAGGAAGCUGGAACAAACGGUGUAGUAGUGAAAUGCGUUGAUAUCGUUUGGAACACCAAUAGCGUAGGCAGGCUUCUGGGUGCCACUUGACACUGCUAGGACGAAAGCGUGGGGAGCGAAUGGG